rnacentral:rRNA from 1 species
GACGAACGCUGGCGGCGCGCCUAACACAUGCAAGUCGAGCGAGAACCAACCCUUCGGGGUUGGGGACAGCGGCGAACGGGUGAGUAACACGUGGGUAACCCACCCUCGGUUCUGGGAUAGCCCGGGGAAACCCGGAUUAAUACCGGAUGGCCUUCCGAGCCCUCGGGCGCGGAAGAAAAGGUAGCUUCGGCCUCCGACCGAGGACGGGCCCGCGGCCGAUUAGCUUGUUGGUGGGGUAACGGCCCACCAAGGCGACGAUCGGUAGCUGGUAGGCGAGGACGAUCAGCCACACUGGGACUGAGACACGGCCCAGACUCCUACGGGAGGCAGCAGUGGGGAAUCUUGCGCAAUGGGCGGAAGCCUGACGCAGCGACGCCGCGUACGGGAUGAAGGCCUUCGGGUUGUAAACUGCUUUUGUACGGAACGAAAAGGUUUGACUUAAUACGUUGGACUCAUGACGGUACCGUAAGAAUAAGCACCGGCUAACUACGUGCCAGCCGCCGCCGUAAAAC